rnacentral:rRNA from 1 species
CACGUAGGGCGCAAGCGUUGUCCGGAAUUAUUGGGCGUAAAGAGCUCGUAGGCGGUCUGUUGCGUCCGCUGUGAAAACUCGGGGCUUAACCCCGAGCCUGCAGUGGAUACGGGCAGACUAGAGGUAUUCAGGGGAGAACGGAAUUCCUGGUGUAGCGGUGAAAUGCGCAGAUAUCAGGAGGAACACCGGUGGCGAAGGCGGUUCUCUGGGAAUGUCCUGACGCUGAGGAGCGAAAGCUAGGGGAGCAAACAGG